GCCGGAGGCGUCGUGAGGGACAGCUGGCCGGAGCCGCCAGCAGGGGUUUGUUCCUGACUGAGGGACUAAUGACAUCUCUGUGGGAGCUGAGAGGCCUUGCUGGGAUGAGGUGUUCAGGCAACGUGACAGCAUACAGAAGGUUGCUGAGAAACCGGAGAACAGACAAGUUGCAAGCCUGAGGACCACCUUAACAAGUAAGGAACUGUCAGAACCAGAGACUGAAAUUGUGAACUGUACAUGGUUGGUAUGACAUAUCCAUGGGUUGGUUUCCAAAAACUACUACUAUGCAGCACUUAAUGCACUUAAACCUGUACUUGUUAUUAGUUAUGAUAGAAGUAAUGGCAUUCUUUAUAUAUGCUUUGCUUGUUUCAAAAGGAAAGAGUGUGCUCAUGUGCCAGGUUGAACACCUGAUGUGCAUUGCUAGCCUAACAGUUGUGGUGGCUUCCAGCUGGAAGGGGUUGAGCUUACAAGCACCCAGAGUGGUCUGAAUGUCCUCGGAGGAGGUCAGGCAGACCAGAGGGUGGCUUGUGAGAGAGAGGUCCUGCUGGAGCAUGCAGCCCCACAAGAGCCAAGGCCCCAGCAGUGCUGGCAGAAGAGUGACAAACAUGUGCCUCUGCUGCUGCUCUCUGGUAUGUAAACUGCCAGAUAAGGUCCUGCUAGUGCUUGGUCAGCUUGCACAGGGAUCAAGGCUAAGAUGGAAUAGUUGCAUCUAAUAACUGCAGGAGGUAAACUAAACCCAGUGGGACAACUGUGGGGGAGUCGUGGGGAGCCAGGCUGCCCGCAGCGGGUAUCCCUGCUGGUAACACCAUGUAAGGCUGUGACUGCCUGGGUAAUGGUGUCAGAAAUACCGCAGUUAGGUAUGGCUGUAGCAAAACCAGGAGGAAUGAGGAGGAAGUAAUUGGGGCAGGUUGUUUAUCUGGGAGGGAUUUGGGUGGAGGAGAGGAGGUGGCAAAAAGGUGGGCCCUGAUGCCAAAGAAUGAGGUAUGAAGUCCACCAAAGAAGACCAGAGGGCUCCUGCUCAUGGUGGGAGUGUGGAUGCCUACAACCGGUAGCACAACUGACCUGCACACUCAAGCCCUGGGAAGCUGGAAGGCAUCGCCUGGGAUAACCCACUGGACUUGCUCCAUCAUGUUUCUGGCUGUAUGUCAUGGCAUGGGGGGAUAAACCUGCACCUUGGGACUUAAAAAACUGUCAUUGAGGGUUGGCCACAUGUGAGGCUUGUUAGAUCUGAGAUUCAGAGCUUGUAACUUCAUAGCUGUGCCUUAUGGUUUGCAUACAUAUAUAACUUGAUCAGUGGUACAGUACUUAGGUUAUUGAUUAUUUUUUCUGUUUUGCUAGUUUCCUCAUAGUGUGUUCACCAGUCAAUAAACAAUGUGCCUCAGU